rnacentral:rRNA from 1 species
AGGGCUACACACGUGCUACAAUGGCAUAUACAAAGAGAAGCGACCUCGCGAGAGCAAGCGGACCUCAUAAAGUAUGUCGUAGUCCGGAUUGGAGUCUGCAACUCGACUCCAUGAAGUCGGAAUCGCUAGUAAUCGUGGAUCAGAAUGCCACGGUGAAUACGUUCCCGGGCCUUGUACACACCGCCCGUCACACCAUGGGAGUGGGUUGCAAAAGAAGUAGGUAGCUUAACCUUCGGGAGGGCGCUUACCACUUUGUGAUUCAUGACUGGGGUGAAGUCGUAACAAGGUAACCGUAGGGGAACCUGCGGUUGGAUCACCUCCUUA